rnacentral:lncRNA from 1 species
UACGAAUAUCUUGACGUGCCCUUAGGUCUAUCAAUGAUUUAAUUUUUCUUUCAAAUUUUUUUUGUCAAAGGUCGUAAGGCUUGUGCAUGGGUUGCUAAGUCGGCUAAUGGCGUUAUUCCCCACAGAACCUGCCACAUCACAGGUUGCCUCAAAACAUGAAGAGUUUGGAGUGUCUGUACUCUUGUGUCAGCAAAGUUAUUUACGAAGGGUUAGCGAAUUAUGAAAAAAGUGGAAACACAAACACUUUGUUCAGGACUGUAAUGGCUUUGAAAGCAGCAUGCAGCAGUAACCCAAGCUAUGUUGAUAGGUGGUCGGUCAGUUGUGCGCGUGCUUCAGCGUUUAGCUCGUGAACAUCUGGCUUCGCUCAUUUCACACACCAGUGCGGAAACUCCUAACGAAAACCCACAACUCAUCAGAAUUGGAACUAAUGAGUUGUUGAUAUUAUGCCUGGAUCUCGUGAAGAAUCGUGUCGGUGGAAUGAGUGGUGAAACGCGGAAG